rnacentral:rRNA from 1 species
GACCAAAGGGUUAAGUUAUAUAGGUAGGUAAAAAGAUAGUUAGGUGACGAUAUAAGUUUAAUGAUUUUUUAUAAAAAAGUAAAAUUUGAAUAUAGAUAAAUAAUCUUUUAGAGGCUAAUUAUGCUGAAGCUAUGAUAGUUUUGAGGGAAACUGGGAUUAGAUACCCCAUUAUUCAUAAUUGUAAAUGAAUGUGAGAAUUUACCAGAGUACUAUGAAUUAUAUAAAAUUUAAAACUCAAAGGGCUUGGCGGUGUUUUAGACCAAUUAGGGGAACCUGUCUCAUAAUCGACAGUCCACGUUAUACCUGGCCUUUUUUUGUAGGCAGUUUGUAUACCGUCGUCGUCAGGUAACUUUUAAAAAUUAAGAAGUUGGCAAAAAUAAUUACUAUUAAUUAAGACGUCAGAUCAAGGUGCAGCUAAUAAAAAGGAGAGGAUGGGUUACAAUUAUGUAUUUAUAAUAACGGAUAACUUAAUGGAAAAAGUUUUAAGGAGGACUUAAAAGUAAUUUUGUAAUAUAUAAAUGAUUUGAAUUAGGCUCUGAGACGUGC